rnacentral:rRNA from 1 species
UACAGAGGUGGCAAGCGUUGUUCGGAAUUACUGGGCGUAAAGGGCGCGUAGGCGGCCAUCUAAGUCAGACGUGAAAUCCCUCGGCUUAACCGGGGAACUGCAUCUGAUACUGGAUGGCUUGAGUUCGGGAGAGGGAUGCGGAAUUCCAGGUGUAGCGGUGAAAUGCGUAGAUAUCUGGAGGAACACCGGUGGCGAAGGCGGCAUCCUGGACCGACACUGACGCUGAGGAGCGAAAGCCAGGGGAGCAAACGGG